rnacentral:sRNA from 1 species
CCCUAGCCCUGAUGGAAGCGGCAUCCUUUUGCGGCAUUUGAAAUUAAAAGGAGAAAGUCCUGUGGGCUUUAGGUAAAUACUCCAAUGCCGUAAAAGAUAUAGCGGACAGCAGGAAAAAGC